rnacentral:tRNA from 1 species
GGGGAUGUAACUCAGUGAUAGAGUGCUUGCUUGUCUACCAUGCCUGAGGUCUUGGGUUCAACCCCCAGUACCACCA